rnacentral:rRNA from 1 species
UACGUAGGGGGCAAGCGUUGUCCGGAAUUAUUGGGCGUAAAGAGCGUGUAGGCGGUCCGGUAAGUCAGCUGUGAAAGUCAAGGGCUCAACCCUUGAAAGCCGGUUGAUACUGUCGGGCUAGAGUCCGGAAGAGGCGAGUGGAAUUCCCGGUGUAGCGGUGAAAUGCGCAGAUAUCGGGAGGAACACCAAUGGCGAAGGCAGCUCGCUGGGACGGUACUGGACGCUGAGGAGCGAAAGCGUGGGGAGCAAACAGG